rnacentral:snoRNA from 1 species
AUCCCAUGAUGUGGGCACUUUCGAAGCAUCUCCUUGUAGCGUUCCUACGCUUCACAUAAAGUUUCACCGGACAGUUGAGAGAAUUGAGUGAUAGCAUUCCUGAUUGC